GACGACGCUGGCGGCGUGCCUAACACAUGCAAGUCGAGCGGGGUUGAAGCGAGAGGUAACUCGAACUUCUACCUAGCGGCGGACGGGUGAGUAACGCGUGGGCAACCUGCCUCAAGGUCUGGGAUAACAGCCCGAAAGGGCUGCUAGUACCGGGUAUGCUUGUGGCCUCGCAUGGGGCUACGAGCAAAGGGGAAACCCGCCUUGAGAUGGGCCCGCGUCCCAUCAGCUAGUUGGUGAGGUAACAGCUCACCAAGGCGACGACGGGUAGCCGGCCUGAGAGGGUGACCGGCCACACUGGGACUGAGACACGGCCCAGACUCCUACGGGGGGCAGCAGUGGGGGAUCUUGCACAAUGGGCGAAAGCCUGAUGCAGCGACGCCGCGUGAGCGAAGAAGGCCUUCGGGUUGUAAAGCUCUGUCUGGAGGGACGAAGGAAGUGACGGUACCUCCGGAGGAAGCCACGGCUAACUACGUG
rnacentral:rRNA from 1 species